AUAUAUAAAAUGAUACCGUAGAAUUUGAGUAGUAUAGAUAUAAUGAUAU
rnacentral:guide_RNA from 1 species